AUUGAACGCUGGCGGCAGGCCUAACACAUGCAAGUCGAACGCGUGGCGGACGGGUGAGUACUGUCUGGGAAACUGCCUGAUGGAGGGGGAACACUACUGGAAACGGUCGCUAAUCCCGCAUACCAUCGGGUGUGCCCAUAUGGGAUGAGCUAGUAGGUGGGGUAACGGCUCACCUAGGCGACGAUCCCUAGCUGGUCUGAGAGGAUGACCAGCCACACUGGAACUGAGACACGGUCCAGACUCCUACGGGAGGCAGCAGUGGGGAAUAUUGCACAAUGGGCGCAAGCCUGAUGCAGCCAUGCCGCGUGUAUGAAGAAGGCCGUCGGGUUGUAAAGUACUUUCAGCGGGGAGGCGUUACCCGCAGAAGAAGCACCGGCUAACUCCGUGCCAGCAGCCGCGGUAAUUC
rnacentral:rRNA from 1 species